rnacentral:rRNA from 1 species
GUUAAGGGCAAGCCUAUACAUGCAAGUCGAGCGAACAGACGAGGAGCUUGCUCCUCUGACGUUAGCGGCGGACGGGUGAGUAACACGUGGAUAACCUACCUAUAAGACUGGGAUAACUUCGGGAAACCGGAGCUAAUACCGGAUAACAUGUUGAACCGCAUGGUUCAACAGUGAAAGACGGUCUUGCUGUCACUUAUAGAUGGAUCCGCGCCGCAUUAGCUAGUUGGUAAGGUAACGGCUUACCAAGGCAACGAUGCGUAGCCGACCUGAGAGGGUGAUCGGCCACACUGGAACUGAGACACGGUCCAGACUCCUACGGGAGGCAGCAGUAGGGAAUCUUCCGCAAUGGGCGAAAGCCUGACGGAGCAACGCCGCGUGAGUGAAGAAGGUCUUCGGAUCGUAAAACUCUGUUAUUAGGGAAGAACAAAUGUGUAAGUAACUAUGCACGUCUUGACGGUACCUAAUCAGAAAGCCACGGCUAACUACGUGCCAGCAGCCGCGGUAAUACGUAGGUGGCAAGCGUUAUCCGGAAUUAUUGGGCGUAAAGCGCGCGUAGGCGGUUUUUUAAGUCUGAUGUGAAAGCCCACGGCUCAACCGUGGAGGGUCAUUGG